AGAGGAAAGAGUCUCCUCAGGUUUCAUUUCAAGGCCAAAGUAUAAAAAGACUUUUAACUUCAGGAAGAUCCAAGGUGACUCAACUUUUCAUUUUAUUAAUUGUCAAACUUGUACAACAACUUUUAAAAGUGUGUUAUUGGGAAAUAUGCUGAUUUGGAUAAAUUCAGAAUUAGAACCUCAUUGUCACAUCUGUAUUCAGGUUAAAUCUGGAGCCUGCGGCUGGUUAGCCUAGCUUAGCAUGACGAUUGCACUUGUUCCCUUAUUUUUAGUGUUUAUGCUAAACUAAGCUAACCAUCAAGAGGUUGUGGCCUAACGUUUCCACCGGAAAUCAAAUACGAUGAUUGCCCAAAAUGUCCAACUAUUCCUUGGAGAUAUUAAAAAACAGAAUCCCACAUCAAUCCAACCACAGCUUUAAGGACUAUUCUGUUUGAUCAACUCUGUGCUCUUUCAAAAGUAAACUACAGUAAAGUGAGUUUGUUCAGUGAAAGCACAAAACAGCUUGUGUAGUUUUAUGUAACAGUGGUGAAGGCAGGAAAGAUCAGAAUCUGUAAUGGAAAUGAAAGCCUCGCUUCACUUUAAUGGAGAUGAUCACCACUGCAGCCAUGUUCGCUCUAAAUAUGGAACUACACAGCUGAAGACUACAUUUUACAUCCUGAACACUAAGGAGUUUCUCUGCAGAGAGCAGUACAAGAAAUACUAGUGCAACACGGAUAAAGAUCUCAGUGAACAUAAUGACCGCUGAGAUGUUGCGGCUAACAUUUAUCAGAGGACUGAUUCUUAAAAUCCCUGCCCAGUGGUUUGUUCACAGCCACUGAUUGCACACACUAAUCCACUAACCCAUACCUGAAAGUGUACUGGUCCACCCCCCCCUCAGGUGGGGACAGCUCAUAAAGGUAAUUUGACUGCUGUGGAAAAAAGGAAAAAAGGCCCGGAGCUUGUCUCCCAUUAUUGUCUAUUGAGGGUGGUGUGGAUCAGUUUACAGUAAAACUCUCUGUGACUCCAAACACACACACACACACACACACACACACUUACAUUGUCCACUUUCUCUCUGCACCUGGAACACUUGCAUCACUUACGGGCAUUGGGUGUCAUGGCAACAGUGUCUAAGGCAACGGCAGAAAAGCUGCAUGUUGAUGAUGAUAAGACAAAAAGAAAUUUGACGAGCAGAUCAUGGCUGAAUAUGCCUGCUUUGGUGACCUUUGACCUCCAAAUCCCAAAGAAAGUCGAAUAAUAAUCAAUAAUAUUUUUACAGCGACAUAUAGAAUCUGUGGUAUUACAGUCAGUGAAGUAAAGCAAUUUGAGAUGGAUUAAAGGCUUUAAACCAGAACAAAAAAUCUAUUUUUAUGUGUGUGGCUGUAGAACUUUGAUAUAAUUAGUGGCCACUAAGGACUACUUAAAUUAUCAAUGAAUCUUUUAAUUAUUGGAUUUUGUAGACAACAUGACAGUUAACAUGACAGUUAACUUAGUUCCUAACAUAAACAGACAAAAAUUAGUUUAUUUCUGUGAAUUUUGCUAAAAAAAACGAGCAAAUGAUUAAUGGAAGCAGUUGCAGCUUCAUCACUUGUGAAGUGUACGGCCGCACACUCAGCAGCUUAUUCACCUCACUGGUGUUGGAAUCAAAGGGAUUCAGUCCGUCACAUUCAGAAGGAAGUUGGAUCUGCAGAGACAGAUCAAAUAAACUGGUAAACAUCCACAUUCAAACGUCACACCUCCAGUUUUGUAAUGCAGUUUAAGUUAAGAAUUUCUCCCUUCAAGCCCAAAGCGAGAUAACCUUGAUGACAUCACCAUGAGAUCAUCAGGGUCGGACUACAGACGAAGGGACAAAGAAGACAUUAUACUAAUGUUACUGGUACUCUUCAUGCAGAGUAGACCGACUUAAAACAAGUGAAAUAAAUAAAAUUGCCCCAUAUAAAUUGAUGCACACGCUCAUGUGAUCUUACUGUGCUUUAGUGUUUGACCCCUGGUUAGACCCCCCCAGGAGCGCGCUCCUCUACCGGGGCCCCUCUGAACGUGGAUUACGGGAUGGAAGCAGCACUUUUCCGGUAAGGAGGAGGUUAUAGCAGCAGUUCAGAAAAGAAACACGUCGAUCACGUGACUUGUUAUUUGCCCGGAUACUGCUGUAUUCGAGCUGAGGAUGGAGCGGCAAGAAAAACCCAACACGGCGGGCCGGAUCAACGCGUUCACUCCCACCCACGUGUUAUGACUCACGCGUGACUCACCAAACGUGACGGGUGCGGUUGACAGGUGGGACAGAUGCUGUCGUCCCUGCUCACCUCCAGCACCGUGUCGGGGAACCACACCGCCGUCUUACAAGCUGGGUAACCCGAGCAGGACAGCACCAUGUCCUGCCUGCAGUUGGGGCAUUUCCUGACGGGCAGCGGCAUCUCCAUGUCCUGCUGCUCGGCUUCAGCGAUUUCCUGAGCGGCCCCCAGAUAUUGUGACAGGGCUUCAUCUAACCUGAGGCAACAGAAAAUGACCUUUUAGCUGGAUCACAACGAGGCGAGUCGGACUGAUUUAAAUCAUGAUACGGUUCCGCCCCUUUGGGUCAGAAAUACGCAAAUCUAUUCCACGCUAAAUUCAUACCUGCAAACUCUGAAGGGUCGAAAAAGGUGAUAGCGGGGCGGAACGUGAAAAUGGAUGACGCUUGGGAAAUGUGUCAAGAGGCACAAGUGCAUGUCAUUUGGAUCUGGAACUUUUUCGAAAUAAAUCAUUUUUCAGAAAGAAAAGUCAAAUGAAAAAAAUAAAAGGUUAUUUAUUUUUUCUGGGAUAAUAGAUUGUUGGUUGUUUAAGAAAAUCAAGCUGUACUAAGCCUAAUUUGGAGCUUCACAUUGGUGCAAACCAUGUUUGGGCUCCACAUCCACGUCGUUAGAUGAAGCAUCAAGCUUUUAUAAAGUCUUUUGAUUGUUCUGACCAAAAUACUAAACUGAUCUGAUUAGGAUGGUAGAUUUAUCUGAAACACGUAUGGUAAUAAUAAUAAUAAUCCAGUGACCUUUGACGGUGACCUUUGGAGCAAAAGGAGGAAAAGUUGAAGGGAAAUGAAGAUCUCAACGCUGAUUGGCCAAGACUCCACACGUCAAAGAUGUUUUAUUGUGAAGAUCACAACAUCACCUUUUCUCCUUGCCUCAAUCUGCAGGAUUUGAUUUCAAAACAGCCGAUAAAGAACAAGUUUGCAUGUAUGUAAAUUGUGACUAACUUUUUGGCCUUCCUGACGGACUCGAUGAAGACGGUCUUGUAUUUUUGGAUGUGGUUCUGCAGCACGCUCUGUUUGUCCUUCCUGCCCUCUGACACCAACUUGAGGUCAGCCUCCAGUUCAGCUCGCAGGUUUGGUUUGGACAUCUCAUAUCCCAUGGAGUUAUAGCCUAAACAAGCACACACACGUUGUGAUAGUAACAUAGCUGAAUGACAGGGGCAAAGGGCUAAGGCAUGCUAUGUAUUAGGGUCCAUUGCGACGGCUAAAUACUGUGUGUGUUUGUGCGUGUGUGUGUGAACACACCCUCCACCAGUCCCAUGCCGAGCUCUCCAGGCAGAAACCUCUGAUCAGCUGUUAAGCCCACAUACAUGCGACUCUUGAUGGUCUCGAUGUGCUCUGCAUGGGUCGCAUCCGUGCCUGCAAGAUACACAGUUAAAACGGUACAGUUACUACGGAACAGUCACUACGGUACAGUUACUACGGUACAGUUACUACGGUACAGUUACUACGGAACAGUCACUACGGUACAGUUACUACGGAACAGUCACUACGGAACAGUCACUACGGUACAGUUACUACGGUACAGUUUGUGACAAAGCUAAGAGCAUUUCCGUGUUUACUUGACUGUAGAGUCCUUAAGUUGUUUGCUUUAACUGAAAAAGGGAUUGAUGGUGAUGUGUAGUGGGGUCAGUUUGCAUGAUGACGUCUCGUUGCAUUCGGCUGUGGCCGACUAUUAGUGGGGGGCUUUAUUUUACUUAAAUACAUUGAGUCAUCGUCGGGUAUUAAAUUCACAAUAUUUUUAGUUAAAUUUCCCAAAGUAGUUCAUUGUAAAGUUCUAGUAACAUUCAAAUCAAUAUUGAUAUAUUGUGAUAUAUAAUUUGGUACCUAGUUUCGUGUAAAUCUGACAAAGGUAAUGGGAGUUUGUUACAUUCAUUUGAUCCAUCAAUGGAUGACUUGUUAAAAACACAAAAAUGAAAAGGAAUUUGGUCUCAUGUCUGUGUGUUCACGCUGUACCGAUGCCGUGCUUCUCCAUCAGGGAUAUGAGGUCGGCCUCAGUGAGCAGCUGCGGUGGACUCGUCUGUCCGUCCGCCAUCUCGAUAGCAGAGGGCUGGAACUGAGAGCCCUGCUCGUACACUGGAAUCACCUGGCGAUUACAAAGAGGUCUACCGGUUGUAUCGCACACGAGCAACGGCCAACUGGAACCACACGUAACCUUUUCUACGGCUUCAGAAGUUCAGAAGCCGCUAGAUUAGGCCGGUAAUUAAGUCUCUUUAUCACAGAACACACACACAUAUCAUACCUUAGCGCUCCACCUGUCAUACGGGUAAACGUCCAAGUAGUUCCUCGCAAUGAUCAUGAGUCCCGAGGUGGAGAAGUUCUCCUGAGCGAUGUCAAUGUCCACCACAGUCUCCUGCCCUAAAGCAUCCUGGGACACGCAGGCCAGGAAGUGCCGAACAAUGAACUCGUACAGACGUCCUUCAUUUCCCUGAACACAGAAGAAGCAGAAGUGAGACAUUUUAGUAAAUUAUUCCUCAGUCAUUGUAUUGUUGAGAGAAAUAAAUAAAACGUUUGCGGGGUUGUGA